rnacentral:rRNA from 1 species
UACAGAGGGUGCGAGCGUUAAUCGGAAUUACUGGGCGUAAAGCGCGCGUAGGCGGCUUUGCAAGUCGGGUGUGAAAUCCCCAGGCUUAACCUGGGAACUGCAUUCGAGACUGCAUUGCUAGAGUAUGGGAGAGGGAUGCGGAAUUCCAGGUGUAGCGGUGAAAUGCGUAGAUAUCUGGAGGAACACCGGUGGCGAAGGCGGCAUCCUGGACCGGCAUUGACGCUGAGGCGCGAAAGCCAGGGGAGCAAACGGG